rnacentral:rRNA from 1 species
CGGACGGGUGAGUAACGCGUGGAUAACCUGCCGUAUACUGGGGGAUAACACUUAGAAAUAGGUGCUAAUACCGCAUAAGCGCACAGCUUCGCAUGAAGCAGUGUGAAAAACUCCGGUGGUAUACGAUGGAUCCGCGUCUGAUUAGCUGGUUGGCGGGGUAAAGGCCCACCAAGGCGACGAUCAGUAGCCGGCCUGAGAGGGUGAACGGCCACAUUGGGACUGAGACACGGCCCAAACUCCUACGGAAGGCAGCAG